CAAUCUCACCUCACAGCAGACGACGGACAUCUGAAACCAGUGUGAGAACAAUGGACAGCAAGAUCACUACCACAGACGGCGGUAACAUUGUCAGCACUGGAGCGAAGGCUCAAGAAGACGCAGCACCCAACCCAUCUCAUGGGGAUGUCGGUGGACAAGAAAAGAUGUCCAACCUUAAAGGUGGAGUGACAGGCAACUUAAUUGGUGGCGGUCAGAAAAUUAUCUCUAAUGUUAACAUGGGAGGAGUUUCAGGGGGUGCUAACAUCGGCUGAGGACAUUGCUGCCCUGCAGAUGAAAAGGACUCCUCUUAAAAAAAACAAAAAAAACAAUUUGUUUCAUUGUCAGAUAUUUGAAAUGUCCUUGUAUACAGUAUUGAAAAAAGUUCAAUUCCAAAAAUAAAGUCUACAUACUGUAUGAAACCUUCUUUGGCCGACUUACCAUUUUUUCAUUUUUUAUGGCUGACCUUAUUGUACUCUGGUGGAUAUUUGGUGUCUUGGAAAUGUAUC